rnacentral:rRNA from 1 species
GACGAACGCUGGCGGCGUGCCUAAUACAUGCAAGUCGAACGCAGUGGGGACGGGUGAGUAACACGUGGGUAACCUCCCAUCAGAGGGGAUAACACUUGGAAACAGGUGCUAAACCGAUACUGAUGGAUGAACCCGCGGUGCAUUAGCUAGUGGGUGAGGUAACGGCUCACCAAGGCCACGAUGCAUACCCGACCUGAGAGGGUGAUCUGCCACACUGGGACUGAGACACGGCCCAGACUCCUACGUGAUGCAGCAGUAGGGAAUCUUGGGCAAUUGACGAAAGUCUGACCGAGCAACUCCGCGUGAGUGAAGAAGGUUUUCGGAUCGUAAAACUCUGUUGUUAGAGAAGCGGUAUCUAACCAGAAAGCCACGGCUAAAUAAGAGCCAGCAGCCGCGGUAAUAC